GCUUGCCUUUCCCCAGACCCUCGGGGAGUUAUAGACAGGGUCUGGGACCUCCCACUAUCUGUGGACAAAGAAAAAGAAAACCCGUUCCUCUCCCACAAGCAGGAUUAAUGCUACAGACUUGCUGGAGAGGUUGUUCCCACAGAGCUGGACCUGGAGCCUGGACCAGAAGCGUGGCUGUGAAUGAGCUGAACUCAGAAACUCCAGCACAAGAACAUUUGGUUUUUCCUCCAAUCCUCACCUCCAGCCAUGUGUGUCCAAUCUCUCUUGGGUGUACCCAGGUGUAAAAAAUCCAGUCCAAAGAGAAAGUUUCUCCAACCUGCCUUCUCUACCCACACUCCCCUCCCAUGAGGUGCCAAGCAGGAGGCAAGGGCUAUUGGGACAUGGAUGUUCUUGAGGGGGAGGGUGGUUAGAGAACCCAUAUUAGCAAAUGCCUUCUCUUCCAGCCAUUUAGUCUGAGCCCUGCCCUCCUGGGGGGAAGCCCACAGUGCAGCCUGUUAGAAUGCAAUGCCAGAUGCCGCUCACACCAUGCCCAUCAAAGAUGUGUGUCUCCAGUAACAGCUGAUUCUGUGCAUCUGCCUCAGCCUCCCAAGCCAUCUAUCGGGGCUAUCCUGGCCCAGGUGAUGUGACAGGGAGAGGCAGUGCAGAGAUUGGAUCAUCUUGUAUUCUUGCUGAGGCCAUUUUAGGUUUAACUAGAAUUUCACCCCCCUGAUAGAGAAGCCCAUGGAAAAUUACCUGGCUGUAUUCCAGGACCUGAGGCUGAGAAGCCCCAGUUUCUGCUAAACUGCUUGCUUGUGCAAAACCUCCCCCUGCAGCUGAGCGAGAUAUCAGGAUAUGAUGUUUGCCUUUAAAAGCCCCUUGGUUUAAAUGUCUGGGACUACCCUUCGACACUGAAUACCUGAGUGUGGUCCCAGCCAGCUGGAAUAAAGACUUUCAUUUGACUAUAAA